rnacentral:rRNA from 1 species
CCUACGGGCGGCAGCAGUGGGGAAUAUUGCACAAUGGGCGAAAGCCUGAUGCAGCGACGCCGCGUGAGGGAUGACGGCCUUCGGGUUGUAAACCUCUUUCAGUAGGGAACAAGGCCAGCAUUUUUGUUGGUUGAGGGUACUUGCAGAAGAAGCGCCGGCUAACUACGUGCCAGCAGCCGCGGUAAUACGUAGGGCGCAAGCGUUAUCCGGAAUUAUUGGGCGUAAAGAGCUCGUAGGCGGUUUGUCGCGUCUGCCGUGAAAGUCCGGGGCUCAACUCCGGAUCUGCGGUGGGUACGAGCAGACUAGAGUGAUGUAGGGGAGACUGGAAUUCCUGGUGUAGCGGUGAAAUGCGCAGAUAUCAGGAGGAACACCGAUGGCGAAGGCAGGUCUCUGGGCAUUA